GACGUUAAUUUUUUUUUCUUCUUUUCAAUUGCUCUACAGUUAGAUCGAAAAGUUGAGCCUUGUGUGUGUGUGUGUGUGUGUGUGUGUGUGUUACUGUUCUAUAAAAAGAAAACUAACACUGAUUGGGAUGAUGGAAGUUAGGGGUGCACUGAUCACACCUUUCUGGCCGAUCCCCGAUCUUUAUAAAGCCUGACCUGCUGAUCCCGAUUUCUUUUCAUUACUUGUGGAACAAUACUAUUUGGGUUGUUUUAAACACAUGAAGUCCAUUCUAUUAUUUAGAAAUAGAAAGCCUGUUAAUCAUCUCAAAGCAGAAGAGGACAAGUGGAGGGGAAUGUGAUUGGUGGACAAGAUCGGUUUUAUUAAUGAGAUCCGUUGAUCACCAAUUACCACCACCUACCUACCCCACC